AUUGAACGCUAGCGGCAGGCCUAACACAUGCAAGUCGAACGAGUGGCGGACGGGUGAGUAAUGUCUGGGAACCUGCCUGGUGGCGGGGGAUAACUACUGGAAACGGUAGCUAAUACCGCAUACCAUCGGAUGUGCCCAGAUGGGAUUAGCUAGUUGGUGGGGUAAAGGCUCACCUAGGCGACGAUCCGUAGCUGGUCUGAGAGGAGGACCAGCAACACUGGAACUGAGACACGGUCCAGACUCCUACGGGAGGCAGCAGUGGGGAAUAUUGGACAAUGGGCGAAAGCCUGAUGCAGCCAUGCCGCGUGUAUGAUGAAGGCCUUCGGGUUGUAAAGUACUUUCAGCGGGGAGGCGUUACCCGCAGAAGAAGCACCGGCUAACUCCGUGCCAGCAGCCGCGGUAAUUC
rnacentral:rRNA from 1 species